rnacentral:rRNA from 1 species
GAUUCUGGCUCAGGAUGAACGCUAGCUACAGGCUUAACACAAGCAAGUCGAGGGGCAGCAUGAAAGGAACUUCGGUUCUUUUUGAUGGCGACCGGCGCACGGGUGCGUAACGCGUAUCGAACCUGCCUCAUACUCGGGGAUAGCCUUGCGAAAGUAAGAUUAAUACCCGGCGGUCUCGGACGGCCGCAUGACAGUCCGAGUGAAGAUUUAUCGGUAUGAGAUGGCGAUGCGUCCCAUUAG